rnacentral:rRNA from 1 species
GACGAACGCUGGCGGCGUGCUUAACACAUGCAAGUCGAACGGAAAGGCCCUGCUUUUGGGGUUCUCGCGUGAGGAACGGGCGUGUGAGACACGGGUGGACUACCCUCCUAUUCGGGUUAGAUCUCGUCGAGAAGGCGGAGCAAAGGCCAGAUGCUAUAUUUAGCCUGAUGGUUGGAUAGUUUUUUCCGGUUAGGCUGAGCUCGCUGCCUAUCUGCUUGCUGGUGGGGCUAUGGGCUACCAAAGCGGCGUCGGGUAGCAAGCCUGCGUGGGUGGACGGCCACAUUGGGACUGAGAGACGGCCCAGGCACCUACGGGAGGGAACAGGGGGGAAGAUUGCACAAUGGGCGCAAGGCUGAUGCAGCGACGCCGCGGGGGGGAUGACGGCCUUCGGGGUGUAAACUCCAUUCGCUAGGGACGAAGCUUUUUGUGACGGUACCUAGUUAAGAAGCACCGGCUAACUACGUG